GAGUUCAAGAGUACUUGAAACCGUUCAGGGGUAAACCUGAGAAACCCGAAAGGUCGAACGGGGAGAUUCAGACGCGUCUCGGACAAUCGCGGCGAGUCGGCGACGAGUGACGGUUGGCGUUCGCGCGUCGACUGCGCCGUUGCCGUUCCGUCCGCGACCGAACGCGUGCACUUCUCCCCCUGUAGGACGUCGCGACCCGUUGGGCGCCGGUCUAAGGCACGCGGAGGAGCCCGCGCGAGUUUCGUACCCGCGCGGACCCGCGUCGCCCGGCCGGUGACACACCGACGGUAUACUAAAGAGGCGUGGGGCCGCGACUUAAGUUCGCGUCCGGCCGGUCGCAAGUGCGAACGGAUAAUCUGGCAUCCGGACCUAGUGCCGGAUCCGGACCCGUUCCGCUGCUGGUGACCGUGUUCUCGGACAGACCCCGUACACGCCGGUCUGCGGCGCUAUAGUUUUGGGUACUUUCAGGACCCGUCUUGAAACACGGACCAAGGAGUCUAGCAUGUGCGCGAGUCAUUGGGACUCUAACGAAACCUAAAGGCGUAAUGAAAGUGAAGGCUCGCCUAGCGCGGGCCGAGGGAGGAUGGGUGUCCCCGAGGGGACGCCUCGCACUCCCAGGGCGUCUCGUUCUCAUUGCGAGAAGAGGCGCACCAUGAGCGUACACGCUGGGACCCGAAAGAUGGUGAACUAUGCCUGGUCAGGACGAAGUCAGGGGAAACCCUGAUGGAGGUCCGUAGCGAUUCUGACGUGCAAAUCGAUCGUCGGAACUGGGUAUAGGGGCGAAAGACUAAUCGAACCAUCUAGUAGCUGGUUC
rnacentral:rRNA from 1 species